rnacentral:lncRNA from 1 species
GGAAGAAUGCAGCACACACUUAUGGUAUGAACUGUCAGUCAGGUCUACAUCCCCUAGUUGGAUGUGUUCCACAGCCUGACUCAUCUUUCAAGGACAAGAUGGCGAGAACAGCAGUGAACAGUGACAACAAAGUUUCUGAGGUCUGGGUUAGGGGAAGCAAGCUGUCAUUCCAUGAGCUGGCUCAUGGAGAGGCCCACAUGGCAAGAAGCAUUGAGGUCUGCCGGCAGCUCCAUGCGGGAGCUUGGAAAUGGUUUCUCCUUCAAGAGAAUCGAAUGCCCCCACUUACAGCAGGCAGAGCUCAGGCAGAAAGGCAAGCAUGGGAGCAGCUGUAAAUACAGACUGUCUUCAACUACAGCAGAGAAGCCCUGUUGGAGACAGAGAAGGUGGGAUUUAUUUAUGGUGCUGAGGAUUGAACCUAGGCCCUUUGCACUGAGCAAUGUCCCUAGCCCUUUUUAAUUUUUUUUUUGAGAUAAGGUCUUGCAAAAUUGCUAUUUUCCAGGCUGGGCUUGAACUUGUGACCUUCCCACUCAGCCUCCAGAGUGCGGGGAUCACAGACAUGCACCACCACACUCAGCCAGGUGGGUCAGUUAAAAAAAGGGUAGUCUGAGAGCUCCAAGUAGCCCUUCAUUCAUCUAGUUAACUAACAUUUAGAGCACCUACUAUGUCUAGGUACCAUGCCCUACCGGAAGGCUGAAAUGAAUAGAACAUGGGCUUUCUCUUGAAGAACUCUAUAGUCAAAGAAACCUCAAACUAAAUUCCACCAGACAUAACAGAUUUGAGCUGGGAGUGGUUAUACAACCCUGUAAUCCCAGUACUCAGGAGGCUGAGGCAGGAGAACUGCUGUGAGUUUGAAGCCAGCCUGGGCUACAUAGUGAGUUCAAGGCCAGCCUGAACUACAUAA